rnacentral:rRNA from 1 species
UAACACAUGCAAGUCGAGCGGAUGAUGGGAGCUUGCUCCCGGAUUCAGCGGCGGACGGGUGAGUAAUGCCUAGGAAUCUGCCUGGUAGUGGGGGACAACGUUUCGAAAGGAACGCUAAUACCGCAUACGUCCUACGGGAGAAAGCAGGGGACCUUCGGGCCUUGCGCUAUCAGAUGAGCCUAGGUCGGAUUAGCUAGUUGGUGGGGUAAAGGCCUACCAAGGCGACGAUCCGUAACUGGUCUGAGAGGAUGAUCAGUCACACUGGAACUGAGACACGGUCCAGACUCCUACGGGAGGCAGCAGUGGGGAAUAUUGGACAAUGGGCGAAAGCCUGAUCCAGCCAUGCCGCGUGUGUGAAGAAGGUCUUCGGAUUGUAAAGCACUUUAAGUUGGGAGGAAGGGCAGUAAGUUAAUACCUUGCUGUUUUGACGUUACCAACAGAAUAAGCACCGGCUAACUUCGUGCCAGCAGCCGCGGUAAUACGAAGGGUGCAAGCGUUAAUCGGAAUUACUGGGCGUAAAGCGCGCGUAGGUGGUUUGGUAAGAUGGAUGUGAAAUCCCCGGGCUCAACCUGGGAACUGCAUCCAUAACUGCCUGACUAGAGUACGGUAGAGGGUGGUGGAAUUUCCUGUGUAGCGGUGAAAUGCGUAGAUAUAGGAAGGAACACCAGUG